AGUCGUAACAAGGUUUCCGUAGGUGAACCUGCGGAAGGAUCAUUGUCGUGACCCUGACCAAAAAAGACCGUGAAACCGUCAUCUAGCCCGCCAGCAGCAGCCAUGCCGUUGCUUGGCCAAAUUCCUCGAGAACCUCCCCUCCUUGGAGUGGUGGCUCGGGGUAAAAGAACCCACGGCGCCAAAGGCGUCAAGGAACACUGUGCCUUACCCGGGGUGUGGCUGGCUUGCUAGCCGUGCCCCGUGUUGCAAUGCUAUAUAAUCCACACGACUCUCGGCAACGGAUAUCUCGGCUCUC
rnacentral:misc_RNA from 1 species